rnacentral:misc_RNA from 1 species
GAUGAAGAACGUAGCGAAAUGCGAUAAGUAAUGUGAAUUGCAGAAUUCAGUGAAUCAUCGAAUCUUUGAACGCACAUUGCGCCCCUUGGUAUUCCGAGGGGCAUGCCUAUUCGAGCGUCAUUAUCACCCCUCAAGCCUAGCUUGGUGUUGAGGCGUGCUGUCAAGGCAGCCUCUAAAAUCAGUGGCAGUGCUGUCAGGCUCUAAGCGUAGUAAAUCUAAUCGCUAUAGACACCUGGUGGACACUCGCCAGAACCCCCCCAUUUUUUAAUGAUUGACCUCGGAUUAGGUAGGGAUACCCGCUGAACUUAAGCAUAUCAAUAAGCGGAGGA